ensembl:lincRNA
AUCCCCCCACAAGACACCCAAAAGGGCAGCAGUCAGGCUUUGCGUGGUGUUGUGCCUGCGUGGGGCUUGGCACUUAUUCUGGCCCGGCCUUGUGAUAUCUGCCAGACUAUAGGACACUAUAUGGUAUUCUCCUUUCUGUGUGAGGAGGUGUCUCCUUUCUGUGUCGUUCAUAUCCGGACUCCAUUUAAAGUUUACAAUAAAUGUUUGGGGUGGGCUCGUCGAUCACACUUCUCUUAGGCAAGCCCAUACCCCAGGACUGUGCUUGGAGGUCCUGGGUCGAAUGGGCAAGAACAGAACGCCUAGCAAAGGUGAUUUCCUGUAGAGGACCUCGACUGAGAGUGCAAAGCAGUUGGAACUGUAGGAACAGAAGUAAAGACCAACCAACAGCAACACUUUGUACCCGGAUGUGCCUGCUUCUGUCGACACUUUCUUACUGUAAAGCUCUCCAUAAACAGUGAAAAUGUUUGGUAAAUUUA